rnacentral:lncRNA from 1 species
AAAAAUUGAGGUCAUAACACAUGCUUAAUUAACUAGAAUUGAAUAUUUGCAUAACCAAAAGCAUAGCCUACAUGAAGGGGAAACAAUCCUCGCGCCUUUCUCUUAAUUGUUACAACUAUAUAUUUACUUGCAUUCUAAGUGUUCGAUAAAAUUUCUAGACUCGUUUACAUAGAAAUUUUAGAAGUAACUUUAGAAUUAAUUGAACAACCACUCUUUGUUUGAAUAUUACAUUAAGAAUCACCGAGUUUGCACACAUUUGGACACUCUAAUACACACCUACUCCGUGUGGGAUUGGACCCAAACCUUUGUUGGGUUUAUUAUUGCUAACGACCGUACUACUUUCAUAUAGAGAGUAGGAUUUGACGUCACCACAGACACUAGCCAACAUAAAAACAAAGCGCCGGAAACAGGUGAAGAAAGAAGCAAUAGCAACCAUAUUUGGAGCUAUGUUCUACCACAUUUGGAAGGCAAGAAAUUGGAAGGUAUUCAAAGGGAUACAAGUAAAUAUUAACGAGGCUGUGGAUCAGAUAAAGAAGGAGGCUACAGAAAGAUUAAGUUGAAUUAAAAUGUCAAAAAAGAUGCAUAGCAAUAGGGAGUUCUUGAGGAGGAUUACAAGUGUAUAGUAUUUGUUUAGAGGCUUAACAUCAUAAUACCCUCCUUUGAAGGGGUUAUGAACUUAAGUGUUCUCUAAGUGUAAUCAUUUGGUUAUUAAAUGGUAAUAUUCACAGUGUUACAAAAAAAAGUAAAAAAUGAAAAGAGAGAGGGAGGAGGAAAAUGAAGAAUAUGACAAAGGAUAUGCUGUUUGAAGGUCCUUGCCUCAUUAGCUUAACUCUCAAGAGUGAAGUAACACACUUCAUAGGCAUAAAAUCAUGCAGCAUCUCACCAACAAAUUCAUGGACAAAGGCAAUAUAUAGGGGAAUCUGAUGUAAAUAUUUUUUGAAUAUGGAAUUGUAAAGGGAUAAGAAAGUUAUUACCCCAUUUUCUGACCCUAGAAAAAGUGAACCCUUUAAUGCAAGAAGAUAUCUAUAGGCCACAGCACAAAAAUCACAGGAUAUGCUGAUUCUCCAGUGGUUUAUUCGGAGAAGGCAUGCUCUAUAAAGAGUGCAAGUGCUCUGUUGUGAUGAAGUAGAAGGAGAAAAAUGAGAAAGAAGAGUUGGUGAAUGAUAAUAAGGGAAAUAGUGGUAGGGCUACUCUCUAUUGGCAUGCACUUAAUUAUGUAUAGUGAUUCCACUUAAUCAUCACAUAUAUACUUCAGUUGACACGCCAAAGGAGAGCUGCCCUGUUACUAUCUCUGCUUAAUCCUAACACACAAUUCGGCUCCUAGUACCGCGUGGUGCAGAAGGUAUUUUUCUACUUGAUCUACUGUAACUGGUUUCUUCUUUCUCUAAUUUGCGGCAAGAAUUGAUCUAGAAACCAGUUAAUAACCACAUCACCUCAGUUUAAAUUUUUCUAAUUUGAAUUGUCGGUAAUUUUCUUUAUUUUUGUUCCCACAAAUCGUUCAUCUAACGUUAACAUGACUCCAUGUUCAGGUGCAAUUGUCAAGGUCAACAAUCGUCCAAUUCUCCAAGUUGAAAAGACCAGUCAUUUGGUGCAAAAAUAAGAAGAAACUAGUCAAUUUGAACAAAAUCAUGAAUAAGGACUCUGCUCUGACUAUAGAUAUUAAUAUGUUAUUAACAUCACCGAUGGUUAUCUAGAUGUUCUAGCGAGCUGGUUCAGGAAUAUAACUGUUAUCAUAUGCAAAUUAACCCUGUCUAAACUACUAGCUUACACAGUUUGAGCAAAUAAUUCACGCAUUAUACUUAGAAUCCUAAAGAUGAAGAUCGAGGCCACAGAGAGCUAAUGGCUAGGCUUAUAUCAAGGACAAAGAUCAUGACUACGUGAAGAGGAUCUUGUUGUAUGAUUUGACAACCAUUUACGAUUUGUUCAUGGAGCUGCCCGGCCCGGCCCAGAUCCAGGAUUUCUUUAUUUGUGUGGUUGUUGACUUGUUGUGGCCAUUAUAAUACCUUGAGUAUUGAUGAAUCAACUUUGUUUUUCGGUUUAACCUUUGAAUUUAAAUGGGACCAAACUUGCUUAGAUAAUAUAAGCUCAAAAUAGCUUAAAUUAAAGUGAACGGAAAAUAGAGGGAAAAAAUGAAAAUUUAAAUUUCUCUAUUUUACAAAGGGACAUUGUUUCAUAUUGGAGGAGAAAAAGAGUUUUGAUGGGUAUACAAUUGCACUUCCUCUAGUCAGAGGCGGAUGCAAUGUAUCGGCACCCGGGUCAACUGAACCCAAUACUUU